GGCCUUCUGUCCUGCAGAAGAGGAUUCUUUUUUAAGUAAUUCCAGGAGUCUUCUCAUCAGACACUGGGAACCAUUAUCUAGGUCCAAGAUCCAAGUUUCC